UGGGGAAUAUUGCACAAUGGGCGCAAGCCUGAUGCAGCCAUGCCGCGUGUGUGAAGAAGGCCUUCGGUUGUAAGCACUUUCAGCGAGGAGGAAGGUGGUGAGCUUAAUACGCUCAUCAAUUGACGUUACUCGCAGAAGAAGCACCGGCUAACUCCGUGCCAGCAGCCGCGGUAAUACGGAGGGUGCAAGCGUUAAUCGGAAUUACUGGGCGUAAAGCGCACGCAGGCGGUUUGUUAAGUCAGAUGUGAAAUCCCCGGGCUCAACCUGGGAACUGCAUUUGAAACUGGCAAGCUAGAGUCUCGUAGAGGGGGGUAGAAUUCCAGGUGUAGCGGUGAAAUGCGUAGAGAUCUGGAGGAAUACCGGUGGCGAAGGCGGCCCCCUGGACGAAGACUGACGCUCAGGUGCGAAAGCGUGGGGCAGCAAACAGGAUUAGAUACCCUGGUAGUCCACGCCUGUAAACGAUGUCGAUUUGGAGGUUGUGCCCUUGAGGCGUGGCUUCCGGAGCUAACGCGUUAAA
rnacentral:rRNA from 1 species